AGUGAACGCUGGCGGUAGGCCUAACACAUGCAAGUCGAACGGCAGCACAGUAAGAGCUUGCUCUUACGGGUGGCGGGUGGCGGACGGGUGAGGAGUACAUCGGAAUCUACUUUUUCGUGGGGGAUAACGUAGGGAAACUUACGCUAAUACCGCAUACGACCUACGGGGGAAAGCAGGGGAUCUUCGGACCUUGCGCGAUUGAAUGAGCCGAUGUCGGAUUAGCUAGUUGGCGGGGUAAAGGCCCACCAAGGCGACGAUCCGUAGCUGGUCUGAGAGGAUGAUCAGCCACACUGGAACUGAGACACGGUCCAGACUCCUACGGGAGGCAGCAGUGGGGAAUAUUGGACAAUGGGCGCAAGCCUGAUCCAGCCAUACCGCGUGGGUGAAGAAGGCCUUCGGGUUGUAAAGCCCUUUUGUUGGGAAAGAAAAGCAGCAGGUUAAUACCCCGCUGUUCUGACGGUACCCAAAGAAUAAGCACCGGCUAACUUCGUG
rnacentral:rRNA from 1 species